rnacentral:rRNA from 1 species
GAUGAAGGGUUUCGGCUCGUAAAAUUUUGUUGUUGGAGAAGAACGGGUGUCAGAGUAACUGUUGACAUCGUGACGGUAUCCAACCAGAAAGCCACGGCUAACUACGUGCCAGCAGCCGCGGUAAUACGUAGGUGGCAAGCGUUGUCCGGAUUUAUUGGGCGUAAAGCGAGCGCAGGCGGUUUUUUAGGUCUGAUGUGAAAGCCUUCGGCUUAACCGGAGAAGUGCAUCGGAAACCGGGAGACUUGAGUGCGGAAGAGGACAGUGGAACUCCAUGUGUAGCGGUGAAAUGCGUAGAUAUAUGGAAGAACACCAGUGGCGAAGGCGGCUGUCUGGUCUGCAACUGACGCUGAGGCUCAAAAGCAUGGGUAGCGAACAGGAUUAGAUACCCUGGUAGUCCAUGCCGUAAACGAUGAGUGCUAAGUGUUGGAGGGUUUCCGCCCUUCAGUGCUGCAGCUAACGCAUUAAGCACUCCGCCUGGGGAGUACGAUCGCAAGAUUGAAACUCAAAGGAAUUGACGGGGGCCCGCACAAGCGGUGGAGCAUGUGGUUUAAUUCGAAGCAACGCGAAAAACCUUACCAGGUCUUGACAUCUUUUGCCAGGUUGAGAGAUCAGCUGUUCCCUUCGGGGACAAAAUGACAGGUGGUGCAUGGUUGUCGUCAGCUCGUGUCGUGAGAUGUUGGGUUAAGUCCCGCAACGAGCGCAACCCUUAUUGUCAGUUGCCAGCAUUUAGUUGGGCACUCUGAUAAGACUGCCGGUGACAAACCGGAGGAAGGUGGGGAUGACGUCAAAUCAUCAUGCCCCUUAUGACCUGGGCUACACACGUGCUACAAUGGGCGGUACAACGAGUCGCGAGACCGCGAGGUCAAGCCAAUCUCUUAAAACCGCUCUCAGUUCGGAUUGCAGGCUGCAACCCGCCUGCAUGAAGUCGGAAUCGCUAGUAAUCGCGGAUCAGCAUGCCGCGGUGAAUACGUUCCCGGGCCUUGUACACACCGCCCGUCACACCAUGAGAGUUUGUAACACCCAAAGCCGGUGGGGUAACCGCAAGGGACCAGCCGUCUAAGGUGGGACAGAUGAUUGGGGUGAAGUCGUAACAAGGUAGCCGUAGGAGAACCUGCGGCUGGAUCACCUCCUUUCUAA